rnacentral:lncRNA from 1 species
UAUUGGGGCUCCACUUGAGAGUUGAGAACUAUUCCCUAAAAAACGACGUCGCCUCCUUCCUGGUUAGAGAGUCAUAAGACUUGGUUCAUUUGCUCGUCUCUCUCCUUCUCACCUCUGAAAGCCAUGGCUACUCUAGCAGCUGCCGCAGCUCGCCAAGCCGCAAGCUCACUCCGCUUGUCAACGGCCAGGUCCUGAUAGUCGCAUAUUUGUGCGACUUUUAUCAUGCUAAUUAUUCUUAUUACUUAUUUAUUUUGUGAUGUUUUCCUAUUUUAAUUAACUUUAUUUGUUUUUAGGUGUUUUGAAGUCAAACAAAGAAAAGGAGAUAAUUGGGCUUAAUUAGGAUCCCUAAUCCUAGUUGGAUUGGUGAUGGACGUGAGAUAUAGGUUAACUAACCUAUUUCAAUGAGGGGAGCAGCCGAACAAGGGAGGAGGAGAACGAGAGAGAAAAAGAAAGAAGGAANNNNNNNNNNNNNNNNNNNNCACCCGCGUGACAGGCGGGAAUACUUACCACUAUACUACAACGACGCCAAAAUUUGAUAGGCGCAAAAGCACCUACAAAGAUACCCUAUUAUCAAAUCAAUUAUAUCAAUGUAGUAAACGGCAAAUAGGGGUCAUUACCCGCAGAGGAUUGGUGAUGCUAAGACUUAAACACAUAAGAAACACAAACAGACGCGUAAACCAGAAAUCUGGCAGACUCGACCUAGGAGCAGAAACCUAAUUAAUUAGCUAAUCUUGGGGCUCCACUUGAGAGUUGAGAACUAUUCCCUAAAAAACGACGUCGCCUCCUUCCUGGUUAGAGAGUCAUAAGACUUGGUUCAUUUGCUCGUCUCUCUCCUUCUCACCUCUGAAAGCCAUGGCUACUCUAGCAGCUGCCGCAGCUCGCCAAGCCGCAAGCUCACUCCGCUUGUCAACGGCCAGGUCCGCCGGUCAAUCCUCCAGUAUAAUCCAGCGACGUGGCCUCGCCGGCGCCGCAGGUAAACCAAAC